rnacentral:rRNA from 1 species
UUGGUGCAUGGUUGUGUCAGCUCGUGUCGUGGGAUGUUGGGUUAAGUCCCGCAACGAGCGCAACCCUCGACCUUAGUUGCCAGCAUUCAGUUUGGGCACUCUAAGGUGACUGCCGGCUAAAAGUCGGAGGAAGGUGGGGAUGACGUCAAAUCAUCAUGCCCCUUAUGACCUGGGCUACACACGUGCUACAAUGGGCGGUACAAAGGGUCGCGAACCCGCGAGGGGGAGCCAAUCCCAAAAAGCCGCUCUCAGUUCGGAUUGCAGGCUGCAACUCGCCUGCAUGAAGCCGGAAUCGCUAGUAAUCGCGGAUCAGCAUGCCGCGGUGAAUACGUUCCCGGGCCUU